GUAAUUGCUCUGCCUGAUCAGUGGCGAACGGGUGAGUAACACGUGAGUAACCUGCCCCUCACUUCGGGAUAACCUCGGGAAAUCGUGGCUAAUACCGGAUACGAGACCUGACUGCAUGGUCGGGUCUGGAAAGAUUUAUCGGUGGGGGAUGGACUCGCGGCCUAUCAGCUUGUUGGUGAGGUAACGGCUCACCAAGGCGACGACGGGUAGCCGGCCUGAGAGGGCGACCGGCCACACUGGGACUGAGAUACGGCCCAGACUCCUACGGGAGGCAGCAGUGGGGAAUAUUGCACAAUGGGCGAAAGCCUGAUGCAGCGACGCCGCGUGAGGGAUGAAGGCCUUCGGGUUGUAAACCUCUUUCAGCAGGGAAGAAGCGAAAGUGACGGUACCUGCAGAAGAAGCGCCGGCUAACUACGUGCCAGCAGCCGCGGUAAUACGUAGGGCGCAAGCGUUGUCCGGAAUUAUUGGGCGUAAAGAGCUCGUAGGCGGUUUGUCGCGUCUGGUGUGAAAACCCAAGGCUCAACCUUGGGCUUGCAUCGGGUACGGGCAGACUAGAGUGCGGUAGGGGUGACUGGAAUUCCUGGUGUAGCGGUGGAAUGCGCAGAUAUCAGGAGGA
rnacentral:rRNA from 1 species